rnacentral:rRNA from 1 species
UACGUAGGGGGCAAGCGUUGUCCGGAAUCAUUGGGCGUAAAGAGCGUGUAGGCGGUCCGGUAAGUCGGUUGUGAAAGUCCAGGGCUCAACCCUGGGAUGCCGACCGAUACUGUCGGACUAGAGUUCGGAAGAGGCGAGUGGAAUUCCCAGUGUAGCGGUGAAAUGCGUAGAGACUGGGAAGAACACCAGUGGCGAAGGCGGCUACCUGGACAGGUACUGACGCUGAAGCGCGAAAGCUAGGGGAGCAAACAGG